UCCCAUAUGGUCUAGCGGUCAGGAUUCCUGGUUUUCAACCAGGUGGCCCAGGGUUUGACUCCCAGUAUGGGAA